UACGGAGGGGGCUAGCGUUGUUCGGAAUUACUGGGCGUAAAGCGCACGUAGGCGGCUUGUUAAGUUAGAGGUGAAAGCCUGGAGCUCAACUCCAGAAUUGCCUUUAAGACUGCCGAGCUAGCAGGUGAGAGAGGUGAGUGGAAUUCCGAGUGUAGAGGUGAAAUUCGUAGAUAUUCGGAAGAACACCAGUGGCGAAGGCGGCUCACUGGCUCAUACUGGACGCUGAGGUGCGAAAGCGUGGGGAGCAAACAGG
rnacentral:rRNA from 1 species